AUCCAGCUGAUCAGUCCUAGAUAGGACGAAACGCGCGUCCUGGAU
rfam:Schistosoma margrebowiei strain Zambia genome assembly, scaffold: SMRZ_scaffold0001194